rnacentral:lncRNA from 1 species
GUCUUCUCUUGUCAAGGGACUUCGAGGAGUUCUCCACAGACUCAGCGCCAUGAAGCUCUUUCUCCUUCUCAUCUUCGUCUUCUGCAUCUCUCAAGUAAUGCCAGAUAAGUGUGUGCCUGAGGAGGAAAAGGAACUGUGUGAUUCGCAUGCCAGGGACAUGCCCCGGAAGGAGCUUCUGCUGCAUAAGGAUGAAGUGAAUGGAAGAAUUCAUGUUUAAUGAAUCUACCCUGAAUUAAGUAAACUGAAGAAGUCAUACUUCAUGUACAUACCCUGAAUUAAAUUGGAAGGCUGAGGCCUCAUGAUACCAUUUUCCU